rnacentral:rRNA from 1 species
GAGUGGCAGACGGGUGAGUAACGCGUGGGAACGUGCCCUAAGGUACGGAACAACUCCGGGAAACUGGAGCUAAUACCGUAUGUGCCAGGGGAAAGAUUCAUCGCCUUGGGAUCGGCCCGCGUCUGAUUAGCUAGUUGGUAGGGUAACGGCCUACCAAGGCUACGAUCAGUAGCUGGUCUGAGAGGAUGACCAGCCACACUGGGACUGAGACACGGCCCAGACUCCUACGGGAGGCAGCAGUGGGGAAUAUUGGACAAUGGGCGAAAGCCUGAUCCAGCCAUGCCGCGUGAGUGAUGAAGGCCUUAGGGUUGUAAAGCUCUUUCGGCGGGGACGAUAAUGACGGUACCCGCAGAAGAAGCCCCGGCUAACUUCGUGCCAGCAGCCGCGGUAAUACGAAGGGGGCUAGCGUUGUUCGGAAUUACUGGGCGUAAAGCGUAUGUAGGCGGAUCGUUAAGUCGGGGGUGAAAUCCCGAGGCUCAACCUCGGAACUGCCUCCGAUACUGGCGAUCUUCGAGUCCGGGAGAGGUGAGUGGAACUCCGAGUGUAGAGGUGAAAUUCGUAGAUAUUCGGAAGAACACCAGUGGCGAAGGCGGCUCACUGGCCCGGUAC